UACAGGGGGGGCAAGCGUUGUUCGGAAUUACUGGGCGUAAAGGGCCAGUAGGCGGCCAACUAAGUCCGACGUGAAAUCCCCAAGCUUAACUUGGGAACUGCGUCGGAUACUGGAUGGCUUGAAUUCGGGAGAGGGAUGCAGAAUUCCAGGUGUAGCGGUGAAAUGCGCAGAUAUCAGGAGGAACACCGGUGGCGAAGGCGGGUCUCUGGGCCGAUACUGACGCUGAGGAGCGAAAGCGUGGGGAGCGAACAGG
rnacentral:rRNA from 1 species